UUCGCCCUUUUCCGGUUGAUCCCGCCGGACCCCACUGCUAUCGGGAUAGGACUAAGACAUGCAAGUCAAGCGCUUUCUAGCUAAUGUGAGAGCGCGGCGUACAGCUCAGUAACACGUGGCCAACCUGCCCUUGGGACGGGAACACCCCCGGGAAACUGGGGUUAAUUCCCGAUAGGUGAAGAAGUCUGGAAUGACUCUUCGCUCAAAAGACGUUUAUGUCAUGCUCAUAUUCGUCGCCCAGGGAUGGGGCCGCGACCGAUCAGGUUGUUGGUGAGGCAAUGGCUCACCAAGCCUUUUACCGGUGCGGGCCGUGAGAGCGGGAGCCCGGAGAUGGGCACUGAGACAAAGGCCCAGGCCCCACGGGGCGCAGCAGUCGCGAAAAUUUUGCAAUACACGAAAGUGUGACAGAGCUAUCCCGAGUGCCAUCCGCUGAGGAAGGCUUUUACCCAGUAUAAAUAGCUGGGAGAAUAAGGAGAGGGCAAGUCUGGUGUCAGCCGCCGCGGUAAUACCAGCUCUCCGAGUAGUGUGGACGUUUAUUGGGCCUAAAGCAUCCGUAGCUUGCUAGAUAAGUCCUCUGUUAAAUCCACCGAUUCAAUCGUUGGAUUGCGGGGGAUACUGUUUGGCUAGGGGACGGGAGAGGUCGACGGUAUUUCCGGGGUAGGGGUGAAAUCCUAUAAUCCCGGGAGGACCACCAGUGGCGAAGGCUGUCGACUAGAACGCGCCCGACGGUGAGGGAUGAAAGCUGGGGGAGCGAACCGGAUUAGAUACCCGGGUAGUCCCAGCUGUAAACGAUGCAGGCUA
rnacentral:rRNA from 1 species